CCCUUAGACGUUCUGGGCCGCACGCGCGCUACACUGACCAGCCCAACGAGUGUUUGUACCUUUGCUGAUAGGCAUGGGCAAUCUCUGAACGCUGGUCGUGCUUGGGAUCGAUUUUUGCAAUUAUUAAUCGUCAACGAGGAAUUCCUAGUAAACGCGAGUCAUCAGCUCGCAUUGAUUACGUCCCUGCCCUUUGUACACACCGCCCGUCGCACCUACCGAUUGAAUGGUCCGGUGAAGCCUCCGGAUUGGGCGUUCAGGUCCUGCCUAUCGCCCGAGAAGUUGGCUAAAUCUUACCAUUUAGAGGAAGGUGAAGUCGUAACA
rnacentral:rRNA from 1 species